rnacentral:rRNA from 1 species
CACGUAGGGGGCGAGCGUUGUCCGGAUUUAUUGGGCGUAAAGAGCUCGUAGGCGGCUCGGUAAGUCGGGUGUGAAACCUCCAGGCUCAACCUGGAGACGCCACUCGAUACUGCCGUGGCUAGAGUCCGGUAGAGGAGCGUAGAAUUCCUGGUGUAGCGGUGAAAUGCGCAGAUAUCAGGAGGAAUACCCGUAGCGAAGGCGGCACUCUGGGCCUUGACUGACGCUGAGGAGCGAAAGCGUGGGUAGCGAACAGG